rnacentral:rRNA from 1 species
UACAGAGGGUGCGAGCGUUACUCAGAAUUACUGGGCGUAAAGCGCACGUAGUCGGCUUUGCAAGUCGGGUGUGAAAUCCCCGGGCUCAACCCGGGAACUGCGUCCGAUACUGGAAGGCUUGAAUCCGGGAGAGGGAUGCGGAAUUCCAGGUGUAGCGGUGAAAUGCGUAGAUAUCUGGAGGAACACCGGUGGCGAAGGCGGCAUCCUGGACCGGCAUUGACGCUGAGGCGCGAAAGCCAGGGGAGCAAACGGG